rnacentral:rRNA from 1 species
AGUGAACGCUGGCGGUAGGCCUAACACAUGCAAGUCGAACGGCAGCACAGUAAGAGCUUGCUCUUACGUGUGUCGAGUGGCGGACGGGGGAGUAAUACAUCGGAAUCUACUUUUUCGUGGGGGAUAACGUAGGAAAACUUACGCUAAUACCGCAUACGACCUACGAGUGAAAGCACGGGAUCUUCGGACCUUGCGCGAUGGAAUAAGCCGAUGUGGGAUUAGAUAGUUGGCGGGUUAAAGGCCCACCAAGGGGACGAUCCUUAGGUGGUCUGAGAGGGUGAUCAGCUAGCGUGGCUGUGAGAAACGGUCGCGACUCCUAAGGGGGGGCGCAGUGGGGAAUUUUGGACGAUGGGCGAAAGCGUGAUCAAGCAAUACGGAGUGGGUGAAGAAGGCAUUGGGGUUGUAGAGCCCUUUUGUUGGGAAAGAAAAGCAGCAGGUUAAUCCCACGCUGUUCUGACGGUACCCAAAGAAUAAGCACCGGCUAACUUCGUG